AUGAACCCUCUCAUCAAACUACAACAGAAUUAUCCCCCUAGAACCCAGCUGGCAGAGGGGUCUGGGGAAUGCACUAUUCUGAAUCCCCACCUCUGCACCCUACAGAAAAAGAGGAGAGUGAGUUUAAGAAUAAGAAACACUUACUUAAAAUGCAAACCAACUUGCCACAGUCCUGACCUACUCGCUCCAAUUUCUGAAUGUCAAACACUUAGAGCAAUUGUUGGCUGUCAGAGUAUGAAGUCUGUGGAAGCAGAGAAACUGGACAUUUGGCAUUUCAGCAUUCUGAAAGGCAGCAGCAACCAGGCAGCCAGAGACAAAUGUGGAAACCACAGGAGAGAACAAGAAGAACAGGACAACCUCCUCCAACUGAUAGAAAGUGACUCAGCUGGAAGAGACAUUGCAAACAUCAAGAGAUAGAGAGGGAAGUUUACUAGGGAAUGUACGAGAAGGAGGAGCUAAGAAGGGAAUACAAAAGAUGUACAAGAACAUUCAGCUCUGUGAAGCUAAGUGUUUAAUGAAGAAAGGACCAAAGCUGAGAAAGAGUUUUUGAAAGGACACCAAACCAAGAGAAGUAACUCUAGAUCAAGGGAUAACAAACCAUAGCCCAUUAGCCAAAUCCAACUCAUCAUUUGUUUUUGCAAAUAAAGCAUUAUUGCAACACAGCUAUAUCUACUUGUUUACAUAUUGUCUGUGGCUGCUUUCGCACUACAACAG
rnacentral:lncRNA from 1 species